UGGGGUGGUCAUCCUGUUGACGCUGUCCCUGUGCCAUCGGUCCUGGCCAGCCUUGCCUUCCUCCCAUUACCAGCCCCUGAGUGUGAGUCCUUGUCGUCUCUUGCCUGGAGUGUCCCAACUAGGUGAGACUGUGAUGAAGCUGUGUCUUUGUCUAUUUUGUGGUGCUGUAGCAGAAUACCGGAGGCUGGGUGGAUUUAUAAAGAACAGAGAUUUAUUUCUCACAGUUCUGAAGUCUGGAAAGUCCAAGAUCAAGGGGUCAGCAUCUGUGCGGGACUUCUUGCUGCAUCAUGACACGGCAGAAGGCAGAAUGGCGAAGAGAAGGAGACGGAGAGCAAGCUGUGUAGUGAGCCCACUCCUACAGUAAUGACGUUCAUCCCUCCGUGCAGGUGGCACCUCCAUGACCCAGACACCUCCCUUUCGGCCCCACCUCUCUACACCACCACAUUAGGGCUCAAAUUUCCAACACAUGUACGUUGGGGGACACAUUCAAACCACAGCAGGCUGGGUCACGUGGUGUCCUGCAAUGUUUUAUUAUUAUAUGGUCAUCUCCCAACUGGUUGCCUAACCUCCAACCUUGUCUUUUUUUACAUUUCCACAAAAGGAUCUCGCCAAAACACAAACCUAAGAAUGCUCUAAGUUAACCUUCCAGCUUAAACACUUUCACUGUUGUGCACUGCUUCCAGAGUAGAGUCCACAUUUCUUGGCAUAGCAAGAAAGACGUUUUGAGACAUGGUCCCACCUACCCUCUACUGUGCUUUCUUGUCGAGGCUCUCCACCCUUGCCUUGGCUACCCCGUCUCUGCCACGCUCCAGCCCUGGCCCACACAAUGCUCACACUCCAGCAGGGAACUCUCAAACCAGUAGAAUGCUUCAUCCACAAUGACCUAGCUCCUCUCACCUCUCAGAUUCCUGUCUGGAAAAUCCUAGGCAUCCUUCAAAAUUCAGUUCAAGAAUGUCCUGUCUGGGAAGUCUUCCUAAGCCCCCAAAUGGAGCUAGUCUGUUCACCUCGCUGAUGCCACUUUCCAUAUCCAUUAAAUACCCGUAUGGUUGCAUUGUA